GAGUGAACGCUGGCGGUAGGCCUACCCCAUGCAAGUCGAACGGCAGCCCAGUAAGAGCUUGCUCUUACGGGUGGCGAGUGGCGGACGGGUGAGGAAUACAUCGGAAUCUACUUUUUCGUGGGGGAUAACGUAGGGAAACUUACGCUAAUACCGCAUACGACCUACGGGUGAAAGCAGGGGAUCUUCGGACCUUGCGCGAUUGAAUGAGCCGAUGUCGGAUUAGCUAGUUGGCGGGGUAAAGGCCCACCAAGGCGACGAUCCGUAGCUGGUCUGAGAGGAUGAGCAGCCACACUGGAACUGAGACACGGUCCAGACUCCUACGGGAGGCAGCAGUGGGGAAUAUUGGACAAUGGGCGCAAGCCUGAUCCAGCCAUACCGCGUGGGUGAAGAAGGCCUUCGGGUUGUAAAGCCCUUUUGUUGGGAAAGAAAAGCAGCAGGUUAAUACCCCGCUGUUCUGACGGUACCCAAAGAAUAAGCACCGGCUAACUUCGUG
rnacentral:rRNA from 1 species